UUUUUUUAAACAAUCAUGAAA
rnacentral:piRNA from 1 species